rnacentral:rRNA from 1 species
AUUGAACGCCGGCGGCAUGCCUUACACAUGCAAGUCGAACGGCAGCACGGGAGCAAUCCUGGUGGCGAGUGGCGAACGGGUGAGUAAUAUAUCGGAACGUGCCCAGUCGUGGGGGAUAACGCAGCGAAAGCUGUGCUAAUACCGCAUACGAUCUACGGAUGAAAGCGGGGGAUCGCAAGACCUUGCGCGAUUGGAGCGGCCGAUAUCAGAUUAGCUAGUUGGUGAGGUAAAGGCUCACCAAGGCGACGAUCUGUAGCUGGUCUGAGAGGACGACCAGCCACACUGGAACUGAGACACGGUCCAGACUCCUACGGGAGGCAGCAGUGGGGAAUUUUGGACAAUGGGCGAAAGCCUGAUCCAGCAAUGCCGCGUGCAGGAUGAAGGCCUUCGGGUUGUAAACUGCUUUUGUACGGAACGAAACGGUGAGCUCUAAUACAGUUUGCUAAUGACGGUACCGUAAGAAUAAGCACCGGCUAACUACGUGCCAGCCGCCGCAGUAA